AUCCUCUUAUAUAUAAAAUUUAUUAGGCAUCUGAUUUUUAAAAAUUACAUUUCACUAUAUCGUUAUAGCUGCCAAUGGCUCUAAUGAAGAUAGAGGAGAGGUUGCAGAUGAAGAUAAGAGAAUUAUAACUGAUGAUGAGAUAAUAAGCUUAUCCAUUGAAUUCUUUGACCAGAACAGAUUGGAUCGGAAAGUAAACAAAGACAAAGAGAAAUCUAAGGAGGAGGUGAAUGAUAAAAGAUACUUACGAUGCCCAGCAGCAAUGACUGUGAUGCACUUAAGAAAGUUUCUCAGAAGUAAAAUGGACAUACCUAAUACUUUCCAGAUUGAUGUCAUGUAUGAGGAGGAACCUUUAAAGGAUUAUUAUA
rnacentral:lncRNA from 1 species